UACAGAGGGGGCAAGCGUUGUUCGGAAUUACUGGGCGUAAAGGCGCGUAGGCGGCCUGCUAAGUCGAACGUGAAAUCCCCGGGCUCAACCCGGGAACUGCGUCCGAUACUGGUUGGCUUGAAUCCGGGAGAGGGAUGCGGAAUUCCAGGUGUAGCGGUGAAAUGCGUAGAUAUCUGGAGGAACACCGGUGGCGAAGGCGGCAUCCUGGACCGGCAUUGACGCUGAGGCGCGAAAGCCAGGGGAGCAAACGGG
rnacentral:rRNA from 1 species